AAACAGAAAAGACUGUCAACGGAGAGGAAGCGAACAGCGACGGAAAUGCAGAUCUUAUCUAUGACAAAAUGUUUCCAUAAUGAAACGACAUCUAGCUUCUGUGACAACAUUAAUGAAAUUGUUGAUGAAGUGAACUUGUUUGUAGCAAGACGAACAGCAAAUUCUUUCAACUACCAGAAGUCUCACCAGCCACAGCAAUCAAAAAGACCCUACUCAAUUUGCAGUCAGCCGCCUGCUCUAUUUCUGCAGAAGUAGAUUUUGAUUGAGAAGCAAUAGUUGUUCCAACACCUGAAACUAAAGGCAUCGAUGGCAAUUAGUACACAAAUCUCUAAUCAAUGAAAUUGUAUCAUCU